GAUGAACGCUGGCGGCGUGCUUAACACAUGCAAGUCGAACGGUGAAGCAGGAGCUUGCUCCUGUGGACCAGUGGCGAACGGGUGAGUAACACGUGAGCAAUCUGCCCUGGACUCUGGGAUAAGCGUUGGAAACGACGUCUAAUACCGGAUACGAGGCGUGGGGGCAUCCCCAACGCCUGGAAAGAACUUCGGUCCAGGAUGAGCUCGCGGCCUAUCAGGUAGUUGGUGAGGUAACGGCUCACCAAGCCUACGACGGGUAGCCGGCCUGAGAGGGUGACCGGCCACACUGGGACUGAGACACGGCCCAGACUCCUACGGGAGGCAGCAGUGGGGAAUAUUGCACAAUGGGCGCAAGCCUGAUGCAGCAACGCCGCGUGAGGGACGACGGCCUUCGGGUUGUAAACCUCUUUUAGCAGGGAAGAAGCGAAAGUGACGGUACCUGCAGAAAAAGCACCGGCUAACUACGUGCCAGCCGCCGCCGUAACAC
rnacentral:rRNA from 1 species